GGUAAAACCAGCACCUCAAGUGGUCAGGAUUAUUAUUGGGCCUAAAGCAUCCGUAGCCGGCUCUGUWAGUUUUCGGUUAAAUCUGUACGCUCAACGYACAGGCUGCCGGGAAUACUGCAGAGCUAGGGAGUGGGAGAGGUAGACGGUACUCGGUAGGAAGGGGUAAAAUCCUUUGAUCUAUUGAUGACCACCUGUGGCGAAGGCGGUCUACCAGAACACGUCCGACGGUGAGGGAUGAAAGCUGGGGGAGCAAACCGGAUUAGAUACCCGGGUAGUCCCAGCUGUAAACUAUGCAAAAUCAGUGAUGCAUUGGG
rnacentral:rRNA from 1 species